GAUGAACGCUAGCGACAGGCUUAACACAUGCAAGUCGAGGGGCAGCGCGAGGGUAGCAAUACCUUUGGCGGCGACCGGCGCACUGGUGAGUAACACGUAUGCGACCUGCCCCGGACAGGGGGAUAAACCCGGGAAACUGGGCCUAAUACCCCAUACGCCUUGGGAAUGCAUGUUCCCGAGGUGAAAGAUCCGUCGGUCCGGGAUGGGCAUGCGGCGCAUUAGCUUGUUGGCGGGGUAACGGCCCACCAAGGCGACGAUGCGUAGGGGUUCUGAGAGGAAGGUCCCCCACAUUGGUACUGAGACACGGACCAAACUCCUACGGGAGGCAGCAGUGAGGAAUAUUGGUCAAUGGGCGCGAGCCUGAACCAGCCAAGUCGCGUGCGGGAUGAAGGCCCUCCGGGUCGUAAACCGCUUUAGCCGGGGAGUAACGUGUGGGACGCGUCCCGCAGUGAGAGUACCCGGAGAAUAAGCAUCGGCUAACUCCGUGCCAGCCGCCGCAGUAACAC
rnacentral:rRNA from 1 species